GUCCCAGACUCCUACGGGAGGCAGCAGUGGGGAAUAUUGCGCAAUGGGCGAAAGCCUGACGCAGCGACGCCGCGUGAGGGAUGAAGGUUUUCGGAUCGUAAACCUCUGUCAGAAGGGAAGAAAGUGCGUGGUGCUAAUCAGCCGCGUAUUGACGGUACCUUCAAAGGAAGCACCGGCUAACUCCGUGCCAGCAGCCGCGGUAAUACGGAGGGUACGAGCGUUAAUCGGAAUUACUGGGCGUAAAGCGCACGUAGGCUGUUGUGUAAGUCAGGGGUGAAAUCCCACGGCUCAACCGUGGAACUGCCUUUGAAACUGGCAAACUGGAGUGUGUGAGAGGAUAGUGGAAUUCCAGGUGUAGGAGUGAAAUCCGUAGAUAUCUGGAGGAACAUCAGUGGCGAAGGCGACUAUCUGGCACAUAACUGACGCUGAGGAGCGAAAGCGUGGGUAGCAAACAGGAUUAGAUACCCCUGUAUG
rnacentral:rRNA from 1 species